rnacentral:lncRNA from 1 species
GGACUGGUGUGCACACAGGUGUCCAUGUGCCUGUAUGUAUGCAGGUGUGUGUGUGACACACACAUACAUGUGAUAUACGCAGGCGUGUGAGAUACACAUACAUGUGACAUAUGCAGGCGUGUGAGAUACACAUACAUGUGAUAUAUGCAGGCGUGUGUGAGACACAUACCUGUGGUGUAUGCAGCUGUGAGACACAUACAUGUGAUAUAUGCAGGUGUGUGAGACACACACAUGAUAGAUGCAGGCGUGUGAGGCAUAUAUGUGUAUGCAGGUGUGUGAGACACAUACAAGUGAUAUAUGCAGAUGUGUGUGACAUACAUGUGGUGUAUGCAGGCAUGUGUGACACAUAUACAUGUGAUAUAUGCAGGCGUGUGUGAGACAUACAUACCUGUGGUGUAUGCAGGCGUGUGAGAUACACAUACAUGUGACAUAUGCAGGCGUGAGACAUACAUACCUGUGGUGUAUGCAGGCGUGUGAGACACAUACAUGUGACAUAUGCAGGCGUGACAUACAUACCUGUGGUGUAUGCAGGUGUGUGAUACACAUACAUGUGACAUAUGCAGGCGUGUGACAUACAUACCUGUGGUGUAUGCAGGCGUGUGAGAUACACAUACAUGUGACGUAUGCAGGCAUGUGACAUACAUACCUGUGGUCCACACCUGUCUGCACACGCCUCCUGUUACUGAUGGUUAACUCAGUGGCUGGCACACUCACCACCUUCUCACUGUGGCUGGCAACAAGCUGCUGUUCUGCACCAGGACCUCCUCUCAGGCUCCCAGCAAAGGAGGCCGGCAGCUUUGACACGAGGGUCCGGGAGCCGUGGCUCCUCCAGGUUAGUGGUGCACACAGCGCUUGCCACACCGCCCACUGCCUCACUCCGUGCUGUGCCUGGUGCUGCGUGGGUCCUGAGGCUCCUGCUCCUGACCCUGGUGCCGCUGGGACAGAGUCCAGGUGGGAGGGCAGUGUGUGGUGUGUGUGUGGCCAGUCCCCAGGGACAGGACGCCCGAG